UACGGAGGGUGCAAGCGUUAUCCGGAUUCACUGGGUUUAAAGGGCGCGUAGGUGGCUUGGUAAGCGUGUGGUGAAAGCCCGGGGCUCAACCCCGGGUCUGCCAUGCGAACUGCUAUGGCUUGAGCACUGUAGAGGCAGGUAGAAUUCCGGGUGUAGCGGUGGAAUGCGUAGAGAUCCGGAAGAAUACCGGUGGCGAAGGCGGCCUGCUGGGCAGUGGCUGACACUGAGGCGCGACAGCGUGGGGAGCAAACAGG
rnacentral:rRNA from 1 species